AUGGCCAAAUGGGCUCCAAUGUUACGAAUUCAACAUUUGUAUGGAUCCACAAAAAUCAGUUCAGACCUGCAGAAGCACAACAAUCAGAAUCACCUCCUUGAUGCCACCUGCUACAACCUUAUAUCUAGAUAUGCAUUGUCAUGUUAUACAUCAAAGCAAGGCAGCAAAAUCAAUGCAACACAUAAUUCCAUUAUCAAUUCAUACGUAAUUUCAACAAUAAUUAGAGGCAUAUCAAAAGCAGGCCAUUCCAUCAUACAGUCAUGUACAAUUUCAGCUUGCAAACAUGGUUCCAUGGUAAAUGCAUCUAGUCAUAACCAUACUAACUUAAAACAUUGCAAGUUCAUGACCUGUACCAUUCUCGCCUUUCAUGUUAUGAAACACAACAAAAAAGAACAUAUGCGAUGA